GGGGAUGUCUUGGUUUCGACAGGAAUAGUAGAGCAUAGAUAGCAAGUCGAAUUAUCUACGUCACAGAUUAAACCAGAAUAACUGGAAACAAAAUUAAAAAUGUACUUGCAAGACUUAGUGGUGACACUGAGUUUGCAUUUGCCUAAGAAUAGGCUUGUACGCUGUCUUUCUUAAUUUCUUACGUUAAGAAUGUACGGUUCAAUUUAGUAAGAUAUAAUUAUUUAUUGUCUUAGUAAAUAAUUGAAUAUUAUAAGACUAGAAUUAUAGUUUGGUUGAUUAUUUCUUUACUAUAAUUCGAAUUUAAUAAAUAAUCUAAACUUGUAGAAGUUUAUGUAGCUCUAUUUUUGGACAGGGGUUCGAUACCCCUCAUCUCCACCA
rfam:Clostridium sp. CAG:451 genomic scaffold, scf126